rnacentral:lncRNA from 1 species
CCGAUACAAAGGUGUUCUCCACCGAGCAACAGUUAACUCAGAGAAAAAGCGCCUAUCCAUUGCCAGCCUUCUUAGUCUAGCUCUAGGUAAAAAAGUUAGACCUGCACCAGCACUUGUCGAUGAACAACAUAUCUUGUCCUACAAAGAAGGAGGCUUCAGUGAUUUCCUUGACUUCAUUUCUGGAGAAGAUAUUGUGGAAGCAAAGUACAUAGACAAAUUAAAAAUAAAUCCAUGACGAUAAUAGUCCAUGGACAGCAGAGCAGGGCAUACACGAAUUCUCAUUUUUAGUCUUCACACUCCAUGUCAUACAAUCUGUUUGCACUUGUUAAAGUGCAAAGGUUAUAACCAGUAGCCAUCUUUCCUAUGUACUUUGUUCAAACAACGCUGGUGAGAGGUUCUUCUUUCUUCAACUUUUUUUUCUUUUUUUUUUGAAAAAGAAAAAUAAGGGCUCUUCUUUCUUCAUGCUAGGAGGCCUCACUGUGAAAAAUAAAUUUGGAACAGACUUUACCAGUCAUUCCAUCUUAAUUAGGGUUCCCUCAAGGUCACUUAUGAUUUAAGGAUCCAUAAUGUUUGCACCACCAACAAAAUUAAGAUGCAUCAUCAGGAUCUUCACUAAAUCCAAUGAUAUACCUCGGUUAGAAGCCAACAACUGGAAAAUUCAAAUAACUUCCAAAUUGGAAAAGAGUUCUAAUAUUCACAUCUAAUCCAGUUUAAGGCAAAUGUAGGUCAUACCAUAAGUUCAGAACUCAAGCCACAUUCAUCACUGGUAGACAGCUAGACGCGCUUAUAGGAGCAUGUGCUCUCACAGAAGGUAACAUUUUGAUGGUAAAUUGACACAGAAUGUUUAGCUAAGACCUUAAACUAAUUAGACAUGCAAAGAACAUUAUAUUGAUUUACAACCACAACCAUAUAAGGCCAAAAUGACCUUCCAACAAUACUAUCUGUAAACAUAGCGCAGAAAUAGCCAGCACAACACCUGCUCUCAUAUUAAUAUUAUCAUUUUUUUAUUCUUUCUGGUUUUGGGUUGAGAAGUUACCAUGGUAAACUAACUGGGACACAUGGCUUCAAACUCAAGUUCCAUGACUCAGGUAAUGCUCAGAUAUGAUACCCAAUGCUAACUACCAUAUAUUAUUGUUUAUCAGGGUAGACCUCGCUAAUGUUCAGACAUCCAAGCUGUUUUUUCUCCAACAUUAUCCACUCGUUUCAAACCUCCUUUAGACUAACUUGAAAUUAUUGCAAAAUCAAGGAAUAAAUUUUCAGGUGAAUACAUCUGAAUUUGUUUAACUAAAUUGGUUAUUAUACGUAGAUUUGAUUUCCUAUUGCACUAAAUAGCUGCAAUCAUCACCUUUGUUAAUCAGAUAACAUGGCAAACUUGCGAUGCUUUCCACCUCCUAAAAGGUUAUCUCCAUGCAUCAUCAGAAUCCGUUGUUAAUGUUUCUCUAAAUGAACAUCUGCAGUUUGUUUAUCUUAAUUGUUUCUAUUUACUUCCAAUUAAUUCAUUAUAUCACCACAUGACAUAUAGGAUUCAGUGAUCGUUAGUCCAUAAUUCAAGCUGAUAACUUAUCAUUUCCUCCAUAGAGUGCAAGCUUAUCUCUUUAGAAAUAAGCAUGAAAUAUCCUCAGAUCUCGUAACAAAACCGUCAUCUUUCCCCUAUUUUUCUCAAGAGAAAAUUUUACCUUGACAAUUGAUUUAAAAUAUAGCAUGAAUUUCUGUUUUUACCCAUUCAGAUAGGCAGUGAAAUCAAAUUCCUCCCUUUUUGGUGCAAUUAGUCGACUAUCGAGUUAUAUCUAGUCAACACCAAAUUAUAAUCUCAACUAUCCUUUUCUGUCCGGUUUUACUAAUUUCUCAAAGAGGAUAAUGGAAAACCAUUAAAGGCCAAAAAACAUCGGAUUAUUCAAGGAACAAGACGUGGUAAUCAAAUUUCAAGUGAUUAAUCAUUCAUUUUCCUCAGGGAAGAAAGGUAUAGGAUUUCUAAUUUUUUCAGCUGUUGACGCCAAUUUUUAGAAAUUCAGAUUCUAGUUCAAUUUUAAGCAUUUAAAAAUUAUGAAAUCGAAUUCCCUCGCUAAUUCAGUAUUAUAACGUAGUUAAACAAAUAAAAAUCAGCUAUUUGAAGUUGCUAAAACGAUUGCUCGAUUUCUUCUCGAUCUGAUGGUUAACUCUUAUGUUUGAUUUGCAUAUAAUCUCAAGAUAUACGAAUAGAAACAAAUAAACUUGCAGAUAUACAUGAAUCUAACUAUAAUUAGUAAAGAAUUUAAUACACAAAAAAAUCAUUAAAAAUACAGAAAAUUUCAACCGAUUCGAGGCACAAAAAAAAAACGCGGGAAAAACACUUACGAAGGGAAGUGAAAAUUGAUUCAAAAAAUUAGCCGUAACUCUCUGCCUUUUUCAUACGUCUCUGAUCUUCUCUGUCCCUACCGCUAAGCCUCUCCUCCAAUUUUACUUUUUUCUGAUUUUCAAUUUUCAGCGAAGGGGGCUUCGGAAAUUCGGAGAGAGGUGGAUUAGUUUCCUGCUCCGCGGGUUUACCGUAUGCCUUUCAAUUCUGGUCCUUUAGUUAGCCACGUGUCUAUCUGACGGCUCACGUUUUUAUAGAUUUUGGCGCAGUUUUUGAUUGUUUGCGAAGAUCAAAUUCAAAUAUAUUUAUUUUGUCGAAAAAAUUAAUUUUCAAUUAAUGCAGCAAACACCACCUAAUAAACAAUUUUAGAAAACAUUUCUAAAAGAUAAAAAAAAAUCACCAAGUUCCUAAGGGGCAGAAGUGGUCAACUUCCAGCGCACUGUCUUCUGGUCACUGUUUUCCAAUUAAUUUGAUUCUCUGUUUAAGGAAAAAAAAACUAUUGAACAUAUUGUUAAUCAUUACAACUAUCAUUACAUCUCAAAAUAUUUACAUCAUAUCAAAUUAAAUUGCUUAAUAAUAAAUGCUUUCAACUUGUUCUGAUCCCACUUUAUACAUCAAAAUUUCAUCAAUACCAUAUUUGUUAAUUUGUAUGAAAUUAAAAGGAAAUUUUUGUUUUAAUUAGGAACGACGAGAAGAUGAUAGAGAGGAAAGAGAAAAAAAAAAAAAAAAAAAAAAAAAAAGAGAAGGUAUUNNNNNNNNNNNNNNNNNNNNNNNNNNNNNNNNNNNNNNNNNNNNNNNNNNNNNNNNNNNNNNNNNNNNNNNNNNNNNNNNNNNNNNNNNNNNNNNNNNNNNNNNNNNNNNNNNNNNNNNNNNNNNNNNNNNNNNNNNNNNNNNNNNNNNNNNNNGAAAGGAAAAAAAGAAAAAAAAAAAAAAAAAAAAAGAAAAGCAGGAUUUGAAAAUGUUUCUAGAAAAAUCAUUAAAAACAGUUGUAUGCCAGACAAUCCUCCUGCUCCUUAUCACAAGAUACGGUUUAAAUUGAAAUAGGAAUAUUUUCAACGCAAAGAAAGUUCUUAAAAGCUAAAACCGUUAAAAAUUCUUUUUAUAAAUAAAACAAAAAUAUUUGGAAACUUCAGAGAGUAAAUAAAUAACAAUUGAGAGCAGCAUGCAUGCAAUGGAUAUGUUGUAGACAAGUUUUUCCUCGAGUGAGCUGGAGACAGUGGAGAUUUGCACUUGAAUCCAAAACAGAUGCUUCCACUUUUCACCUGAAAAUGCCAAAUUCUACGUGUCCUAAUAUAAGAUAAUGUUGAAACAUUAAAAUACCACUUAUUUUCAUCAGCUCUACACAAGAAUUCUAAAACACAUACACAGAGCCACACAUGCUCACAUAUAUAUAUACCAUAUAUUCUAUACACAUAUUUGUUUGCAUUUAUUCAUGGUUGAAUAAUUAAAUUUUAAUUUUAUAUUUAUUUAAAUUGACUUUAUGCGAGCAAAUUGCAGCCUGAAAUUUGAACGGUUGGACGAAUUUUUUAGAGUUAGCUCGCUCUAGGAGCAAUUGGAUAAGAAAAACAAUACAAAAUAGCCUUCAACUGCUUUAAAAAGAACUUCCCCUGAAUGAACAGUUAACUAUACAAUGUGAUUCACAAGUUAAAAGCAUUUAUCAUCUAAUUAACAUAUAGAAUAGGGCUUUUUUUAGCUCGUGCCAGAAACUAUUUAUAUUUGAUAACAAAAAAAGUAUAUAAAAUUUGUAUAAUUUUGUAUAUAACAUACAGAAUGUACAUAUAUACAAAAGAUAUACAAAAAAAUAUAUUUUUUCGGCUAUUUAUUGAAAGCGGCUAUAUAGUAGCAUUUUUCCUCUAAUAAAUACAUUUUGAAGAAAAAUAAAAGUUGUGUUCGUGUUGGUCUCUUAUCAACUAGAGUAUAAAUCACAGUAAAUAGCAUAAUUUUAAAUCUAUUUAUAUUAAUAUUUUUUAAAAAAUUAAUAUAUGUAACUGAAUAUGAAAUAAAUAUUAUGAAAAAAGAAAUUUCUUUUUUUCAGAAUUUUUUUUUAAAAAUGUAUUUGUCCAUGAAAUUUUACAAGUUUUUGAAAUUUUUUCGAAAAUAAGUUUUUCAAAAAUCAAAAAGUGGUUUUGAACACUUUUUCAAAAUGUUCCAAAAUACUUUUUUCCUCACUAACAAAACUACAAUAUUUAUGUUUAAAGGGAAAUACAUGUUCAAACAUAAUUUGAAAUACCAUUUUUCAAUUUAAAUCUAAAUGAGUAUUUUUUUUCAAAAAUUACAAUUCUUAUCUUCAAACGCCUACUUAAAAUUCUGUAUUUUUUCAAGUGGAAAAUCUUUUCCUGUUCUCACAUUGGCACAGAUAUUAUAUUUAGUAUCUCUUCUCUCUUGAUUAUAUAAAAGUUUUGAACAUAUAUAAAGAUCAAAAAGGAUUAAAAAAGAAUUAUUUCCUUGACCAGCUAUAAAAAUUAACUUACAACAGAUACUUCAAGCUAUGAAUUAUUCUCACAUAUAUAUGAGAAUCAAUUCCUAUUAAAGCAGAGUUUCUUCCAAUAAAUAAAUUAAUAAGACAAACAUCUCAAAAUUUAUCACCUGCUGUAUCCCAGUAGCAACGCCAACAAAUAAAAAUCAGUUUAACUACUUCAAAAUUAUUAGAAAUCACAAAGUAGGAGCGCCAUAGAUAAAUUCUCAUGCGAUGGAAAUUAUUAAUAUUGUUACCUUUUAGAAUUGCUAGACUUGACAUAAUCAAAGAUAAAUUGACAGAAAUUCAUGAUUAAUUUGCAUUUUUGGAAAACAGAAUGUAUAUGUAAAUGCUAAAGAAUAACCGAAUAAACAUGUGUAAUUGGCAAUCAAGUCAAAAAUAAGAAAGAGAAAGUGAAAGUAGUCAACAAAAAAGUUAAAAGUAAAAAGUUUAAAAUGAUAGAAACUAAAAGAACUCAAUUAUAUCCAACAGAAUGUAUAUCUUAUAUACAGCAAAUUAAAUGAAAGAACGGUUUCAAGAUAAGACUUGAAAUUAAUUAACUCAAAAAACAAGGAUUCAUUUUCGAUACAAAGUUUUACCGAAGUACAAAAUUUGUCAAUGCUCUGCUUAAGCUUUGGCAGCUAAACUUCAAGUUCAAUGAUAUAAAUUGUGUAGAAACACAGUAAACUUAAUUAGGUAUAAACGUGCGAGAAGAACGUCGACAUUUUAUUCGAAAGCAUCCAUACACUACAACCUCAGAGGAAAAGGAAAAGGAAAAGGCAAGAUCGAGAUUAGGGAAUUAUAUAUAAAAUGAUAGCUAGAAGUGGAAAUUAAGUCGUAAAUGCAGGUUUUAUAAUCCUCUAAAGAUACCAAAAACAUGCCAAUUCCAUGCAAACGUACCAUGCAUAAGUAUUUGUCACUGUUUCUCAAGAAUCAUCUUUAGCAGAAUUUAUCAAGACGUUGAUGUUGCUUAAUGCUGUAGUGCUUUAAUUUGAUGCUGAAUACUUCUGUUUUCCUUCUUCCUCACUAUUAUUUUCUCACCACCUUAGCAAGAGUACUUUAUAUAAUAUUCUCCUGCUUCCUUCACAUUACAAAGAAUUUAUAUAGGCUCAUGGCUGUACUCUUAGGCUGUACUUUGCCCAACAGUGGAGUAACUACAAAAAUAAAGAGGACUCAGCAACCCACGCGUACAAGCCCUACCCUACCAAAAGAAAACAAAACACACACACGAAAAAAAAACUCUCACGUUUAAUUCUAAUGGUAUAUACUAAUCAAGAUACUCCAAUAAGAAAAAGAAUAAAUGGAAUUAACAAAAUGAACAGUGGUAAAAAUAGAAAAAGGAGCAUGUGUAAACGGUGUGUUGCUUACGAAAGAGUUGAAAUUCUUGAAAAUUGCUGGCUACAGAUAUUAGCUAGAUUCCUGCAUGGUCUUGGAUGAUGUUUCAAUGUCCUUUAGUGCGUUAUAAU